GACCAUGAAGUGCGUUAAAGGCAGUGCUGCAUUUAAAGACACUUCCUUCCACCUGCUGGCUUGUGCCUGAAAUGUGAUGACCAAGGAGUCCUCAACAGCUCAUAAAGAAAGAUGGAUCGUAAUGAUGAGAGAAUCAAAAGAGCUUUAAGACGCCGCCCUUAUGUGUUGAAACCAGUGAGGGUGAACACCCCUGAUUCGGUGUUGUGGCCAACCGGCAAGGUGCACAGAAGGCCAAAGCCUUCUAAUUCAGUGCAGACCCCUCAGAUCCACAAAAGGCCUCCAAUCAUUGUGAGCUAUGGGCAGGACCAGACAUCUGGGGAUGGAUGGAGCAUCAAUCUAGAGCCUCUCAGCCAGGUCAUCUCUGCUGUUCCCAUAAAGACACAACAGUUAGAUCAAUCUGUUGAUUCAUAUGGCCAUUUUGGUUGGCUUGGUUGAAUUGACAAUUAUCCAUUCGAGAUGCUAAAGAAUCCUGUACUAUGGAAGAUCUUUUGCCCCACCCCUAAUGUUAUGGGAGUUGCAUUUAUUGCAUUUUCAGUUACCCAUGUAUUACUCACUACUUGUACAACCAUGUUGGAUUGCCUACAUAUUCUAUGUAUUCUAUGGCUGCCAUGAGUACAUGCCUUUCUCUGUCUCCUCAGUCUGGAAGGGUGACUAGGCUGAUAGAGAGAAAAUAUGAUGACGUGAUCUCAUCCUCCAGUUCUGAUGACUUUUCCAUCUACUCCUUCACUGACUGUGAAUCUGAGUGUGAUGAUGAGGAUCAUGAAAGGAGGACCCCAAAGCUGAAAGUUGAGAAUGGAAAGGUGACAAAGCUUGAUGUGAGGGAUAUGGACGAGGAUGAUGAUCUGUCUCUCCACUCCUUCGAUGAGUCAGACUUCCUGAGCCCAGGGAAGGUCUCAGGUCCUGUAUCUAUCAAGAAUGGCCUCUCUCCUCUUGUAACCUCAGCACACCGGACACUGGCUGAAGCCCUAUGGGCCCUGCCCUCUGCUGUAGGCUCUCCCUACCCAGUAAAUGUUCCAAGGCCUCGGACUCCUCUCAACCCUGUCAUUAUCGCUCCGCCCAGAACAGAGAACUUCCCAUACCGCCACUGCCCUCGCCUGGCUCCCAUCACCAACCUGAGCGAGACCGGCAGGAAGCUGCUCCAGGAAAUGGCUGGAGUGACCCCACAGGUUUCUUCAGUGGCUGCUGUCCAAACUGAGAUGUUCAAAGAAAUAAUGGACAACUAUUACUUCUACCACACACACACAAUGAUUUGAGUAUUGGUUAUUCCUACAACACACACAAAUGUAAUUUCAGAGACAGGAACUAUGAUUAGCAAAAUACAUAUAUUGGUCUCAUUCUUAUAUUUUGAGACAUGCAGCAUUAUUUAAAAAAUAUAUAUAUAUUGAUCCCCAUACAGCCUAUGAUAAUGAAUUGGAUUUACAUGCUUAGGCUUGGAAAUAUAGCCAGGAGAAGCAAAGGACAGCACCAACCUUAGGGCAGUGUCACUGGUAUUGGGGUCUUAGGUCUCCUUUGGCCAAAGUGAAGAGUUGAGGGCCCCUUACUGGUCUCCUUGCAAUAUCUGGUCUCCCACACAGAGAUGGAAAUCUACACCUGUUUAGACCCUGGAGGAUAUGGCUUCAGAUGAAAGACAGCAGAGAGAUGCAGAACGUAAAAGCUUCAAACACAUUGAUAUGCAAAUACAGGACCAUUAUAAACUGAAGUGGAGCAUGCAUCUGGUCUGAAGCAUGUCAAAAGAGUAGAAAUGAACUGGGACUGGAGGAAUACAUCACAUUUAAACUAAAUUAUCAUGUAUCUGAUUUAGCUACACC